rnacentral:rRNA from 1 species
CCUACGGGAGGCAGCAGUGGGGAAUAUUGCGCAAUGGGCGAAAGCCUGACGCAGCGACGCCGCGUGAGGGAUGAAGGUCUUCGGAUCGUAAACCUCUGUCAGCAGGGAAGAACGGUCACUGUGCCUAUCAGAAGUGCAUUGACGGUACCUGACCAAGCAGCCCCGGCUAUCUACGUGCCAGCAGCCGUGGUCAUACGUAGGGGGCAUGCGUUAUCCGGAGUUACUGGGUGUAAAGGGAGCGUAGACGGCGCUGCAAGUCCGGAGUGAAAGCCCAUGGCUUAACCAUGGUACUGCUCUUGAAACUGUGGAGCUUGAGUGCGGGAGGGGCAGGCGGAAUUCCUAGUGUAGCGGUGAAAUGCGUAGAUAUUAGGAGGAACACCGGCGGCGAAGGCGGCCUGCUGGACCGUGACUGACGUUGAGGCUCGAAAGCGUGGGGAGCAAACAGGAUUAGAUACCCUGGUAGUC